ACUCCUACAUUCUAUGUUUGUGGUGUGAAAGAUUCCUGUGUCUUCGGUGGUGUUGAUUCCUUUGUUUUUGAGCUUGAGUACUUGUUGUUAUGUUCAUAACUGUGUCCGAGGAAUUUCUUUGGGGCGCUUUGUUGAUUUUGAGUUCGUGUAGGAAUUUUACCGCUCCAUGCUCCUGUGCUUGCGAGGUUGUUGAUUUGUCUUUAGGGACUUCUGAAGAGGAGACAACAGCAGAAGAGUGGUCUAGGUUUUCAGAGAUUGAGACUUCCGAAUUGGUGUUGUCGCCUUCUGAAGAUUGUAGCCAAAAGAGAGGUGGUUGAACAGCAAGAUGCUGUUUUAGCUAGUGAGAUUAAGAAAGUGAUAGACUGUUUGAUUGAGGAGAGAGAUGUUCUAUGAAGUGUCCUGGAGGAGAUACGGGAAAAAGUUUCAUAUCUAUGUGGAAUUUCACCGGAGGCUAUGGAUGACGUAAUCUUUGUUUGUGCAGCGAGGCUGCAGUCGCUGAUUGUGUAUAUAGACUUGCACGGGAGUUGCGGCAAUGCAAGUCUGAGAUAUCACCAAAAAUUGCGGUUUUCCGGCAGCUAGUUUAUGUUUGUUGAGCAAAGUGAGGCUUGCAAAGUUGAUGUGCCCGAGCCUGCAAUGCCAGAGCCUCAAAAGAUGAACAGGAGCUGAAUUAUGACUAGGGAUGCCAUCUUGAUCUGGGACGUUUAUCUCAGCGUUGUGAGCAAGCGGUUCCGUGAUAGCGGUUGGCUUGUAUAGCCCAUUCGACUUUGAUCUUCUUCUAGAGGCAUCUACACGGUUGUGUUUAGUUUUGGUAAGAACUUUGUAUGUAGAGGAGUAAAAAAAUGCUAUGUGACUAGAAGCUGUGAGUUUUCCUAUCAAAACAAUGUUGUGGUAGAGACCUGGCACAUACUGAACGUCACCAAGGGCUUUUAUUUCACCAGAUGGAAAGGAUACCCGAGCAGAGCCUUCUCCUUCAAUUACAUGUGCCUGGCCUCCAACCGAGGUCACAGAAUCAGCUUGGGGUGGAUCUAAGAAUUGGAAUAAAUUUUUGUCUUCUGAGAAAUGUGCUGAGGCUCCAGAGUCGAAGAUCCAAUCUCUCUCUCUGGGGCCAGUUUCUAGGCUAAGUGCAUCAAGUGCGGCUUCAAUCAUCUCUUCAGAAGGAAGAUGAGGCGAAUAAUGCUCACCGAAUGUUUCUUCCAUUAAAUUUGCACCAUGACUGAAUUUGAGUCCUUGGUGUUGUUCCGAACGAUUUUCUCCCAUGUGUCCUCCUGAAGGUCCUCGGGAGAAAGGUGUGAAUUGAGCGAGUGUCGGUACUGGACAAUACCGAGAGGUAUGUCCUCACCUUUUGCUCUGUUGCAAAUAAUUCGUCCGGGUUGAAUUGUGGUCGGUGUUGGUGUUGACCCGGGGAAUCUCCCGAAGAUCAAAAGCCGUGAGUGUUGUGAUAUGGUUUAUAGCGACAUUGCACCAGAUUCCAAAUGCGCAUUAUAAGCGCUUCACUGGGCUCAUUACUUCGCAUAGAAAUAAAGUGUUCUUCAUUGUGGAGUCGAGCAGAUUGUUCCUCCAGAGACGA